rnacentral:rRNA from 1 species
GGCGGACGGGUGAGUAACGCGUGAGCAAUCUGCCCAUAUCUGGGGGAUAACAGUUGGAAACGACUGAUAAUACCGCAUAACAUGGUUUGAAGGCAUCUUCUUUCCAUCAAAGAUUUAUCGGAUAUGGAUGAGCUCGCGUCUGAUUAGCUUGUUGGUGAGGUAACGGCUCACCAAGGCGACGAUCAGUAGCCGACCUGAGAGGGUGAUCGGCCACAUUGGAACUGAGACACGGUCCAAACUCCUACGGGAGGCAGCAGUGGGGAAUAUUGGGCAAUGGAGGAAACUCUGACCCAGCAACGCCGCGUGAAUGAUGAAGGUCUUCGGAUUGUAAAGUUCUUUUCUAAGGGAAGAAGAAAGUGACGGUACCUUAGGAAUAAGCCUCGGCUAACUACGUGCCAGCAGCCGCGGUAAUACGUAGGAGGCAAGCGUUAUCCGGAAUGACUGGGCGUAAAGGGUGCGUAGGUGGUUUGACAAGUUGGUAGCGUAACUCCGAGGCUUAACCUCGGCACUACUACCAAAACUGUUGGACUCGAGUGCAGGAGGGGCAAAUGGAAUUCCUAGUGUAGCGGUGGAAUGCGUAGAUAUUAGGAGGAACACCAGUGGCGAAGGCGAUUUGCUGGACUGUAACUGACACUGAGGCACGAAAGCGUGGGGAGCAAACAGGAUUAGAUACCCUGGUAGUCCACGCUGUAAACGAUGAAUACUAGGUGUAGGGGGUAUCGAUUCCCUCUGUGCCGCCGCUAACGCAUUAAGUAUUCCGCCUGGGGACUACGGCCGCAAGGUUGAAACUCAAAGAAAUUGACGGGGACCCGCACAAGCAGCGGAGCAUGUGGUUUAAUUCGACGCAACGCG